rnacentral:tRNA from 1 species
CGCGGGGUGGAGCAGUUCGGUAGCUCGCUGGGCUCAUAACCCAGAGGUCGCAGGUUCGAAUCCUGUCCCCGCUAC